rnacentral:tRNA from 4 species
GGUGGAUUGGUCAAGCGGUUAAGACGCCGCCCUCUCACGGCGGAAACAGGGGUUCGAUUCCCCUAUCCACUG